UACGUAGGGUGCAAGCGUUGUCCGGAAUUACUGGGCGUAAAGAGCUCGUAGGCGGUCUGUCGCGUCUGCUGUGAAAACUCAGGGCUUAACCCUGAGCUUGCAGUGGGUACGGGCAGACUAGAGUGCGGUAGGGGAGACUGGAAUUCCUGGUGUAGCGGUGAAAUGCGCAGAUAUCAGGAGGAACACCGGUGGCGAAGGCGGGUCUCUGGGCCGUAACUGACGCUGAGGAGCGAAAGCGUGGGGAGCGAACAGG
rnacentral:rRNA from 1 species